GACGAACGCUGGCGGCGUGCUUAACACAUGCAAGUCGAACGGAAAGGCCCUGCUUUUGUGGGGUGCUCGAGUGGCGAACGGGUGAGUAACACGUGAGUAACCUGCCCUUUACUUUGGGAUAACUUCAGGUAACUGGGGCUAAUACCGGAUAGGAGCUCCUGCUGCAUGGUGGGGGUUGGAAAGUUUCGGCGGUUGGGGAUGGACUCGCGGCUUAUCAGCUUGUUGGUGGGGUAGUGGCUUACCAAGGCUUUGACGGGUAGCCGGCCUGAGAGGGUGACCGGCCACAUUGGGACUGAGAUACGGCCCAGACUCCUACGGGAGGCAGCAGUGGGGAAUAUUGCACAAUGGGCGGAAGCCUGAUGCAGCAACGCCGCGUGCGGGAUGACGGCCUUCGGGUUGUAAACCGCUUUCGCCUGUGACGAAGCGUGAGUGACGGUAAUGGGUAAAGAAGCACCGGCUAACUACGUG
rnacentral:rRNA from 1 species